UGGGAGAGCCUAGGACUAGAGGUCAUAGCUUCAGAAUUAAAGGAUGUUCCUUUAGGAACGAGAUGAGGAGGAAUUUCUUCAGUCAGAGGGUGGUGAAUCUGUGGAAUUCUUUGUUCUGCAGAAGGCUGUGGAGGCCAAGUGAAUGGAUAUUUUUAAGGUAGAGAUAGUUUUAGAUUCUUGAUUAGUACGGGUGUCGGGGCUAUGGGGAGAAGGCAGGAGAAUGGGGUGAGGAGGCAGACACAGGUCAGGCAUGAUUUAAUGGCGGAGUAGACUUGAUGUGCCAAAUGGUCUAAAUCUGCUCCUAUCACCUAUGACCUUUUGACCUCCCAGGCCUCUACCCAUCCUCUUCCGUAGCUACCUACUGGAAGGUGAAUAGGAGCAGUUCAAUACUCUGUGCCGUAAUAUCUUAGUAUCACUGUCUUUACAACAUCAGCAACUAACUUUGAACGGGUUUUUCCCAUGUUAAACUUUUUCCUUCCACGAAAAAGAUUCCUGUCCAGCUAACCCCUUCAAAGAGGGGAAUUGAUAGGAUAUGAAAGCAAAUCUUUAGAGAUCAUAGUUGAAAAAAACAAGCAUAUGGUUAUGGAAGGAAAGAAAUCUCCUGGUCAUUUUACUCCGAGAUUUGAUUCUUUGAAUUUAGUUGCAGCUUUAACUGUAAGUAAUCCAGUCUGUGGAAUAGUAGCUUAUGCUGGUUGCUAAGAGCCAACUGAUGUCAGCUCCGUAAUCUCUAAGUCUUCACGAAAUAUAAACUACGUUCCAACAAUUUAUUUUUUGUAAAUGCAACUAAAUUGUAGUAAUUCAUAACAAAGCAAUUUUUUUUACACUAGAGAAUUCAAAGUCCCUCCAGGCAGUGUAGACUGGUCACAAACGGUUAAUAAUAUAUACUCUUCACAACAGUGUGCGGGAUUAAUAGGAUCCUACAGGGCAGUUGUGAAAUCUUAUCUUUCUUUUUGGUUUAUUUGUCUUCAGUGGAGGCAGGCCCAUCGAUCUAAUAAUGCUUUCAAAUGGCAGUGAAUUCAUUGCAGACAACAUGACCUUGGUCACUGAGAGCUGGACGGCUUUUUUUUUUGAAUGGCAUGUUCCUUACGCUGUCCUCUUUAUCUUCACGCUCCAGUGAUAGAGACAUACAUCUGGCUGCGGAGACCCAAGAGGGGAAGCCGGCUAUGGGCUGGAAGUAUUUUUGUCUGUAACUAGAAAUGGUCACUUUAUUAAACAGGUCAGUCAGUAAGGUCAAGGGCUCUGUCAGUGCUGUGUCUAGCCAUAUGAUAUGUCUGGAGUAAGCAGCACAUUCAUUCUGACCCAUCCACACAUACUUCCCCACUAUCAGACAGGCAGAGCUAUAACAUGGCCAAGUGAUGUACUGACCUGUGUUAAGGACAUGUUGAUACUAGUCUGUUAUGACAGCUUUUUAUCUCCAAAGAAAAUAGCUUGCUUUGCGCUGUGUAUCAUUUCAUCAGCGUUGGUCUAUCUGGGGUUAUGUGCACAUUAUUUGGGAAUGCUGUGCACAUGUGCGGGGCCAGCAAUGCCUGUUCAUGCGUUGCUCUUUGUACAUUAAGCAGGACAUUCUGGUUCCUUGCCAUCCUUGCAUGCCUGGAAUUCCAUUGUACGUUUCGCAGUCAUCGCCAUGCCUGCCGUGCUAUAUAAAUACGACCAUCGAGAUCACAGGUCCAAAGAAACGCAACGUUGUGGUGGGUUGCACAUCCUAAUUAACAGUGUAGAAUAGCUCGCAAACCAACAAAUGUUUUUGCAUUAUAGAAAAACAGAUCCAAGUAUCACUGUCACUUUGCCACUUCAUUAUGCUAUAUGACAUUAUGGGAAACUUUUUUUCCUGAUGUUAAGUAUAUUGAUGACUGCAAUAAUUUGAAAGCUGAAAAGUCACGGUGAAACAAUACACCAUAUUUGCGUGCCAAUUUCAGCCACUGGAGUGACACAAAAUGCUGGAAUAACUCAGCAGCAUCUCUGGAGGGAAGGAAUAGGUGACACUUCGGGUCGAGACCCUUCUUCAGAUUGAACAUAUGGGGAGCAUACCUCCUAAUGACUCACAUGCUAUGAACAUCCCAGUAUCUUUUGACACUGGGACACGUGAAAUAUAAGAAGCAAUGAGCAAUUUACUUUCAUGAUAUUCAGUGAAGAAAGUACGCAUGUGAGCAGUUAGGAAACAGAAAUGUUUGCUCUCAGGGAACUAUCUCGGGUAGAAAUGCUGGAUCCCCAGAGAUUGCCAUUGGCCAUCAUUCUGCCUGUACAGUUUGAAGAAAGGUUCAUGCUACUCCUCCCCAUCAUGAACUUCUUUUGGUUCAGUCAAACAUUUGAGCAGAUUAUCUGCAAAGCUACCUCUGUUGUCAUGUGCAAUGUUGACCUGCACCACAGAGGAGUUAAAAUCAAUGCAGCCUUACCCCUUUUGACAUAGCUAUGGAAACAUGAUGGACUCGCUGUGCAGUGUUACAUCCCCGUGCCGAUUUUAUGAUAUUUACUUCAAAACUCUAUCAAAUUAUUAUUACAUUUUUCAAAUUUUAUUGGUGAGGAAGAAAGAGGGGGGGAAAUAGCCAUUCUCCAGGGAAGGGCAGAUUGAAAAUAACUGGCUCGCAAAAUGGCCACAUUGUUUUCUAAAUAGUGUGUGGCUAGGACAUUGCCAUAAAUAAUAAGUGUAUUGUGUCAAGUCUGAAAGAGGAGCAUCAUUUGCAGGUGAUUGUUUCGAUUGAUAUUGCUGUAGGCAAAAGGAGGCCCAGAAUACCUGCUGUGAGACAAAGGCAAAAGUCUUUUAUUUAAAUACAAUAUGUAAUGUACUAUUAUUUCCAGAAGUGAAUUGUUCAUAGAAAACACGUGUUGGCAUUGUUCCCUUAAUAAGUAAAUAUAGAAAUUGCCUGUUAUAUUUACAACUGAUGCAGUGUCAAAUUGUUGGCAGCAAAUCUACUUAUUAAACUCGGGGUGAGUCU